ensembl:lncRNA
AGGGGGUGGAUGGGAUGUGGUGGCAGGUGAAUCUGGAGGGUAGGUGGUCUGUGGUGGCAGGUGAAUCUGGAGGGUAGGUGGUAUGGGGUGACAGGUGAAUCUGGAGGUUAGGUGGUCUGUGGUGACAGGUGAAUCUGGAGGGUAGGUGGAAUGGGGUGGCAGGUGAAUCUGGAGGGUAGGUGGUCUGUGGUGACAGGUGAAUCUGGAGGGUAUGUGGUCUGUGGUGGCAGGUGAAUCUGGAGGGUAGGUGGUCUGUGGUGACAGGUGAAUCUGGAGGGUAGGUGGUCUGAGGUGACAGGUGAAUCUAGAGGGUGGAUGGGAUGUGGUGGCAGGUGAAUCUGGAGGGUAGGUGGUCUGUGGUGACAGGUGAAUCUAGAGGGUGGGUGGGAUGUGGUGGCAGGUGAAUCUGGAGGGUAGGUGGUAUGGGGUGGCAGGUGAAUUUGGAGGGUAGGUGGUCUGUGGUGGCAGGUGAAUCUGGAGGGUAGGUGGUCUGUGGUGGCAGGUGAAUCUGGAGGGUAGGUGGUCUGUGGUGACAGGUGAAUCUGGAGGGUAGGUGGUCUGAGGUGACAGGUGAAUCUAGAGGGUGGAUGGGAUGUGGUGGCAGGUGAAUCUGGAGGGUAGGUGGUCUGUGGUGACAGGUGAAUCUAGAGGGUGGAUGGGAUGUGGUGGCAGGUGAAUCUGGAGGGUAGGUGGUAUGGGGUGGCAGGUGAAUUUGGAGGGUAGGUGGUCUGUGGUGGCAGGUGAAUCUGGAGGGUAGGUGGUCUGUGGUGACAGGUGAAUCUAGGGGGUGGAUGGGAUGUGGUGGCAGGUGAAUCUGGAGGGUAGGUGGUCUGUGGUGGCAGGUGAAUCUGGAGGGUAGGUGGUAUGGGGUGACAGGUGAAUCUGGAGGGUAGGUGGUCUGUGGUGACAGGUGAAUCUGGAGGGUAGGUGGUCUGUGGUGACAGGUGAAUCUGGAGGGUAGGUGGUCUGUGGUGACAGGUGAAUCUGGAGGGUAGGUGGUCUGUGGUGACAGGUGAAUCUGGAGGGUAGGUGGUAUGUGGUGG